rnacentral:rRNA from 1 species
AGACUCAGUGAAAUUGAACUCGCUGUGAAGAUGCAGUGUACCCGCGGCAAGACGGAAAGACCCCGUGAACCUUUACUAUAGCUUGACACUGAACAUUGAGCCUUGAUGUGUAGGAUAGGUGGGAGGCUUUGAAGUGUGGACGCCAGUCUGCAUGGAGCCGACCUUGAAAUACCACCCUUUAAUGUUUGAUGUUCUAACGUUGACCCGUAAUCCGGGUUGCGGACAGUGUCUGGUGGGUAGUUUGACUGGGGCGGUCUCCUCCUAAAGAGUAACGGAGGAGCACGAAGGUUGGCUAAUCCUGGUCGGACAUCAGGAGGUUAGUGCAAUGGCAUAAGCCAGCUUGACUGCGAGCGUGACGGCGCGAGCAGGUGCGAAAGCAGGUCAUAGUGAUCCGGUGGUUCUGAAUGGAAGGGCCAUCGCUCAACGGAUAAAAGGUACUCCGGGGAUAACAGGCUGAUACCGCCCAAGAGUUCAUAUCGACGGCGGUGUUUGGCACCUCGAUGUCGGCUCAUCACAUCCUGGGGCUGAAGUAGGUCCCAAGGGUAUGGCUGUUCGCCAUUUAAAGUGGUACGCGAGCUGGGUUUAGAACGUCGUGAGACAGUUCGGUCCCUA